rnacentral:rRNA from 1 species
GCUGAAACCCGCCUCCAUGAAGUUGGAUUCGCUAGUAAUCGCGCAUCAGCCAUGGCGCGGUGAAUACGUUCCCGGGCCUUGUACACACCGCCCGUCAAGCCAUGGGAGCCGGGGGUGCCUGAAGUUCGUGACCGCAAGGAGCGACCUAGGGCAAAACUGGUGACUGGGGCUAAGUCGUAACAAGGUAAC